GCCGGCAGCUAGCUCUCUGCAACUCUCACAUGGUCGCCCGCUGAAGCUAAGCAGGGCUGCGCCCGGUCAGUACCUGGAUGGGAGACUACAUGGGAAAGCUAGGUUGCUGCCGGAA
rnacentral:rRNA from 1 species